rnacentral:lncRNA from 1 species
UUCUUAUAAAAGGCUAAUGAUAUUUAUAUUGGUUUGUUAUUAUUAAAAUAUUAUUUAUUUUUUAACCGUAUAUAAGUAAAAUGAUAUUUUUAUUAUGACAAAUAUGUUUUUUCAAAAGUUCCAACUAAAAAAAUUAUAUAAAAAUAUUCUUUCAAAAAUCAUCUUCUUACUUUAUAAGUGAACAUGAUUAUUAUAAUAUAAGAGAGGUAAAAAUAUCAAUUUAUCUCAUUUGCAAAUCAGAGUUUAGUAUUUUAUCUAUGAUUAACUAUAUUUUUCUAACGGAUUUCGAAUAGCAGAGCUAUAUUUGAAAACGUUAAAACUUUUGCAAGAAAUAAAAAUAAAAAGUUGAACUUUGUAGAAAUAUACCUGCUAUUUAAUAUGUUUACAGAAAGCUCUAUGUAAUUAACUUUUUUUUUUGUGG